GAUGUUGUGGUUCAGUGGUUAAGACCUCGGGCUAUUGAUCAGAAGCUUAUGAGUUCAAAUCCCAGCUCUGCCA